GAACAAUUAAUUGCUCUUUCAAGAGACUUAGUUGUGAGUGGUGCAGCAAGAUGGGUGGAAGCAAGCUUCCUUUUCUUUUUUCUUUUCUUCCUUCCUUUCUUAAUGGGGAAAGAUUUAAAUGUGUUCAUAGUCCUGGGAGAAGGUGCCUGGGGAGAGAGAGGUUGAAGGAGAAGAAAAGCAAGGGGAGUGUUUCUGAAGAAAUAGAAAAGGACUGAGAACCAGACACUGAUGGGGGCUUGCAUUUGGAAACAAGGAAAAUAAACAAGGGUGGAGUUGUAGAACCAUUUUGUAUUAUAUUUCUCAUAACCCUGGUAUCUGAACUCUCUGUGAUCUGACUUUGCUGCCUGUAGACUUUUCUAUGAAUUGAUUUUAGUGUCUUGUUCCUCGUGUAUUAUGUGAUUUUUUUUUAAAGCUGUAAACCGUUUACUUUCCUUGGAAAUUUGUGGGAAUUCUUUAAGUCCUUUGUUGAGAUUUUAUUCCUGCAGAGAGGAUUUUCUUUGCCUUCUGCAAAUCAUCUCCAGGCAGUACCACAGUGUUAAUUCAGACAACAAAUCCAUUUGAAGGCUGGCUUGUGGUUACAAGGUCUCAGGGGAGAUUUUCCCCACUCCAACACCAAGAUCAAAACAUAUACAUUUCUUCGUCCUCUUUCGCACAAUGGGUUUAUUUCUUAUCUACUCUUCCCUUGAGGGUGUAUCCUUUGGGAGGAGGUACCAGGUUUGGGUGCGGUCUCCUAAUACACUGUCUAUGUUAGUGGCAUUUGAGGCUUUACUUCACAAACCCCAAGCCGUUGCAGCUGUCGAAACAGAAACCCAGGGCAAAAGGUGGCUUUGGUGCCUGCUUACUUCGAGUUCUGGCUUUCAUUUCAUUUUGGCCUUUGUAGAUUCUCUUCCUUUUGUGCUAGCCCAGCAAUGUGGUUUUAUUUUUACAUUCUUACAUAUUUUAUCCAGUGUCUUAGUUUCAGUCGAGAAGGUAGUUCAGGAUAUCAAAUCUGCCCUACUGCUAGAAAAGGAAGCCUGGUGUGCCUGCUAUCAUAACUUUGGUGUUGAUAAGCAAACAUGAACAGGUUUUGACUGCUGGGUUUACAGCAUACGAACCUUGUUGCUAUGCAGCUGUUGUUGGAAAAUAGUCUGUGGGCUCAGAGUUUCUAAACCAACCGUUUAUUGGAUGCCCAGAGAAGGAAGGAAAGCGAGGGCCCUGGCUUGCUGAUUACAAACCAUCUCCAUGGUCACAGGUUGCUGGGUGCUCCUUUUACAAUGUUUUCCCAGCAGCAUUCAGGCAGCAGUAGCUUCCUUUGAUCAUUUUUCAGUUUCUGUUAUUUGCUAAUGAGAGAAAGUUUAUACCUGCUUGUGGGGACAUGAGUGAAGAAAGAGAAGGGACUUUGAAACAGGAGAAGAGAGCAAACUCAAAAGGUUUUUCAUGGUGGCAUGUGACAGGGUGAUGCUGAAAAAUUUAUAUGGAAAUUCAAAGGAUCAAGAAUAGCUGAAACAUCAUUGAAGAACAAGUCCUUUAGGAAUUUCUGGAGAGGUAACCUGGAGUCUCCCCAAGCUUCCUGCAGCCCAACCCACCAACCCACCAACCUGGCUGAUGCAUAUGUGGAAUAUCAGCUUCCUGUUCUUUGAAGGGCAAAAAGGACACCGAAGUAUAGCCUACGGGCUCUGCGGCCCAAAGCUCAUUAAGAAGAUAGUAGAUUUAGGCCAGGCGCAGUGGCUCA